UUCUUCAGUCUUCCAUCAUAUUAACUCAUUUGAAUCAUUCAAUAUUACACGUGAAAUUCAUCUCCUCUUCAAUAGCACCAUUCCUAAACAGCUCAAAUCUUAGAACAAUAUAUUAAUUUACUAUAUUGUCAUACUAAAAAGGACCCUUCAUUCUUACUCCUUCAUUAAUCUCAUCUCUCCAGUCUUACCUUUGAAUUACUACCACAGUAUCUGAAUACCAUCUGCACAAAAUCAAUAGCAAUCAGGCAAUUUUAAUGGAGUCUGUCACAUUUACUGAGGAAUACUUAAGGUGUCACUUAGCCUUACAAGGGGAUGUGGUCUGUUAUUUUUCUCAAAUAAUGUCAUAAUUUAGAUCUACUCUGUCUCUUCUAGAAGAUUAUAAUCUGCAUAACUCCAUUUUUUGUGAUUUGUAAUAAUCUCAUAAUACUCAAUUUUUCAUAAUGUUUUAUUAUUUGAAAUGUGCAUACUCAUACAAUUCCUGCUGGCCUGUCAGCUACAUCUGGCAAAAAGACAAAUCUUUGUUUAUCUGCUCUGGCUACAACUACAGAUAUUCAAAUAACUGUUUUUUUCUUAAUGAAGAAAAGGAUUUGGAGCAUCAAAGGAAACGUUUUUGACUAAGAAACAAGGGAUUAUGACUGGAACUAUUCUGCAGCAUGGGAAAAGCAAAUAUCUUGGAUACUCAAUAACCUAAUCCACAUAAUUUGCUGACAUUGCCCAACUACUUGUCUGGGCUUCCUCAGAAGGAAAUCUAAGCAUUCAAGAGGAUAGUGGACACAACCUGCACCAAGGACCCAACAAAGAGCGAGUCAGGUAAAACCAUAUGGAACGAAGAGGAGAUUGUGCCUUCAUAGUGACCAACCAAGCUCCAAAGAAAAGAAGUCCCCAAAUGGAGCAAGGGAUGGCGAGCAGUGCCAAGGGGGGCAGAGCUUAUCCAACCUGGAGGAGACAGAAAGAAAAUUAAGGAUCAGAGUUUUCUAGUUCUCUGUAUCCCAGAAAACCAUGUGGUGGUUAAAACCAAGCAUGGGAUGAAGAAUGUGCUAGCAAGGACUCAUUGUGCACGAACAGAGCAAUGUAAACCUUGUUUAUUCUGUUCUGCCCAACCUAGCCACAUGUGGUGUUGCUAUUAUUUUUUAUUUGUUUGUUUUUCUAUCUUAAAAAUAAUUAUCUUGUAUAAACUGUUUUUCUGAGUUUAAAAACCUUAUGGUCUUUUACAGGAGCUCCCCAUACAGAGAAGUUCAAAUGAGAUUCUCUUCAAAGCUCUGGCCUUCUCCGGGAACCAUGACAGCUUGCUACAAGUCCAAAAGGAAAGCUUAUUUCAUUAACAUUUCAAUAUUAAACUUUUAUAAAUUUUGUAGAUUUACAAUUUAUAGAAAUACAAUUUAUGGAGAUGUGCUUUAUAUAAAGAUUUAUAACAUCUAUGAAGAGAACUUUAUAGAUCUAUAAAAUUUACAGGCAUAUCUUUUAAUGUUAAAUCAGGAAAGACUCCAUUUAUUUACCCAAAACCUAACGCUUAUGUCAGCUGCACUUAGCAGGGAGAAUGAUUUUCAGCUAAUAUUAAAGUUUUUUGCCCAGUUGGAAUUAUGUCUAUAUCUGACUUAAAGCAUCAAUCCUGAAUCACAAAAAGAAGACAGUCAUCCAAGUUCCUAUUAUAUUCAAAUGAGAUAUUACAUAAAAGUUAUCAUUAUGGUAAGUUAUAAGGUCAUGAUUACUCCCUCUAGACAAGAUAUCACGGAGAUGGAGAAGAACCAACAUGAAUGUCACCAGAAAGUUAAACAUAGGGGCAACAAUAUUCUGCACGUACCACUCAAAUAUACACAUCAAACAUAGCUUCUAAAAAUGACAAAUAUAAGAGGGAGUGAAUAAAUCUGUUGUUCAUUGAGUAACUGGAACAAAGUGUGAGUGCAGGUCAACUUUCUAGCUCUAGAGGAAGAGUUUAGAUAUUCAAGGAAUCUUCAAAGUGAAUCUGAAUCUACAAGGGCAUAAUGUGGGAAAAUAGGUUAAGAACAGGCAGUGUUACUAUUUUUAGGCACAAAGGAAAUCUAAGAAUAUGCGUACAUGUGAAUCCCAACAGAGAGAGAGAGCAAUGUCAAAAAAAUAAAAUAAAGAGACCGAACAAGCAGAUAGAAUUUGCCAAUAUGUGAAGGACUCUGAAAACUACAAUGACAGAAAAGGUCUCUAAAAAUACUCUUGUAAAAGAAAAUAAAUAUCCUGAAACUUAAAAGGAUGACAUAACCUAUUUUUUUCUGUAAUUUAUAUAUAACUAAAAUGGGAAUAAUUUACCUAUUGCACUGCAGUAUUCACGUGUUCACAAAGUGCGCUAAAGUCAGAAACAGCUGCUUAGACACUCAAGCUGUUAUUAAAAUGCUUCUAAUAGACUGAAAUAACAGCAUAGUUUUGAAGGAACUGAAGCCAGAUGAUCAGAACUAGUUUUGGGGCCAGUCUCAGAGCCCACUCAUAUAUUUCUUUAUUUUUGGUACCAGAAAAGGAUAAGU